GCGUGAAUGGUUUAGUGGUAAAAUUCUCCGUUGCCAUCGGGGAGCCCUGGGUUCGAUUCCCAGUUUCACGCA
rnacentral:tRNA from 1 species